AGUGAACGCUGGCGGUAGGCCUAACACAUGCAAGUCGAACGGCAGCACAGUAAGAGCUUGCUCUUACGGGUGGCGAGUGGCGGACGGGUGAGGAAUACAUCGGAAUCUACUUUUUCGUGGGGGAUAACGUAGGGAAACUUACGCUAAUACCGCAUACGACCUACGGGUGAAAGCAGGGGAUCUUCGGACCUUGCGCGAUUGAAUGAGCCGAUGUCGGAUUAGCUAGUUGGCGGGGUAAAGGCCCACCAAGGCGACGAUCCGUAGCUGGUCUGAGAGGAUGAUCAGCCACACUGGAAGUGAGCCACGGACCAGAGUACUACGAUAGGCAGCAGAGGGGAAUGUUAGACAAUGGGCGCAAGCCUGAUCCAGCCAUAGCGAGCGGGAGAAGAAAGCCUUCGGGUUGUAAAGACCUUUUGUUGGGAAAGAAAAGCAGUAGGUUAAUACCCAGCUGUUCUGACGGUAACGAAAGAAUAAGCACCGGCUAACUUCGUG
rnacentral:rRNA from 1 species